ensembl:snRNA U6 U6 spliceosomal RNA
AUGCUUACUUUAAUCUUUUAUACUAAAAUUGGGACAAUAGAGAAAAAAUGAGCCCGGCCUCUGCACAAGGAUGACCCACGAAUUUGUGAAGCAGUCUAUAUAUUU